AAAAAAAAAAGGAAUGCGAACGACACUUUUCAGCUUCUUUCUCACCGUCGAAUCCAUCUUCGGAUCUUCCAAAAUCUUCUCUGUUAAUCACUUAAUCUAGUUUUCCCAAAUUUAGUUCUCUGUUUUGUUCAAAUUCCUCCGAAUCUCUAUAUAGCUAUGUUAGAUCAAACAAUUGAAGUUGAAGAUGUCCAGUAGUUGUUGACGCUCAUAGUGCUGCUUUCGUCUUUUUAUGAGGGGCAAUCUACUUCUAAUUAAUCAAUUUCAGGAACGUGUUCUUGAAAUUGGUUACUUCCGUCUUGCAAUCAAUCAUGUGGGUAAGUUAAUUUGAAGUCCUUUUGAAUCAUGUGUUCACCGUUUUUACAUUUUUUACCAAUCGACUUUUAAAAAUCAAAAGUUGUAUAGAUUUGCUGAAGUUAGUUUAUUAGUAGGAUUUUAAAACAUAGAGUUGUGUAUUAGGUCCGCGGUUUUGAUCGUAUUUUGUGACUGAUUUAAUUUCUGAUUGUGUUGUACAUUUCAUGUAUUGGACACAACAACGUCGUUCAAGUCGAAGGAUACGACAAUCAUAGUAAAGUGUUUCAAAUGCAGGAAAAUCAAUGACUGGUAAAUAGAUAAAGCAAAAACAGAUAAGUACUACUACUUAGUACGUUGAUAAAAGUAUAUUAAGCGAAUGAAAUUACUAAUGUGUAUAGAAAUGCUAAAAGCCUACUAUUAUAUUAUUGUAGGUGACUAUAUUAACCAUCACGCAAGUACAUAAUACAAAUACUGGCGACGUUCGCUUCUCAUUCUUCAGAAAGUUAUAUCAAACUCAGACUAAUAAGGGGUGAUCUUCUUUUUGAACCGCUUCAUCAGUUCCUUCUUCACGGAGACAUGAAUAAGGUAUCAAGAACCUUGACUUCCAAUUUAUUUCCAUGAAGUCUUGUAAGGCUUCACAUCUCGGAGAAAAGGCGUAGGAUGCAGCCUUUGCUAUGUAAGUGUUUAUCGACGUGUAUUUGAGAAAUGGUAAGUGAAGGAUGGUUUUGUGAUUGCGUUUAUCCAAAUCUUAUUAUAUAAAGUUGGGUUUUGAAAGUUAGCCAUUAACAAGAUUUUGACAUGUGUCAAGUUAUCAAUCUUAGAUUUUGACAUCUGUAAAAGUUGAUAUUUAAUAAGAGGAAUUUGAUUACAACAAAAAUAAAAUAUUUUGUUUUUUAAAAUAUUAAUAAUGUAAAAAGAUAAUUAUC